rnacentral:siRNA from 1 species
UUGAAGUUUCAGAUGUUGGCCCU